rnacentral:tRNA from 1 species
CCUGGUGGCUCAGAGGUUAAAGCAUCUGCCUGCAAUGUAGGAGACCCAGGUUCAAUGCCUGGGUCAGGA